rnacentral:rRNA from 1 species
UACGGGGGGAGCAAGCGUUGUUCGGAUUUACUGGGCGUAAAGGGCGCGUAGGCGGCGUGACAAGUCACUUGUGAAAUCUCCGGGCUUAACCCGGAGCGGCCAAGUGAUACUGUCGUGCUAGAGUGCGGAAGGGGCUACUGGAAUUCUCGGUGUAGCGGUGAAAUGCGUAGAUAUCGAGGAGGAACACCUGCGGCGAAGGCGGGUAGCUGGGCCGACACUGACGCUGAGGCGCGAAGCCAGGGGAGCGAACGGG